rnacentral:misc_RNA from 1 species
GAAUUGCGAAAAGUAAUGCGACUUGCAUAAAUCGUGAACCAUCGAAUCCUUGAACGCACAUUGCACCUUUCGGUAACCCGAAAGGUCUGGCUGUUUGAGCAUCGAUUUGACAUGACAUCGACCUUGAGGUUUCGUUUUCUCGAAACUCGAAAGGCUCGGAUCGUGAGGCGUCCAUCUCUCCUGGAGAGAUGGUCCCUUGAAAUGAGCAAGGUGUGCGGCCGUAUCCAUCCCAAAAGGAGGUCGUCGUCGACCGGCGUAGCGUUGCAAUCGGGUCCGUCAUGGCUCGUGACACGCGCUACCCGACCGGUCUUCUCGCCUCCCGGAAACGCGACCUCCAGUACCUCUCCUCGCGGAGAAACAUACCAUAAACCUUACUCGAUCUCAAAUCAGCCAGGACUAC